GUCUACGGCCAUACCACCGUCAACGCUCCCGAUUUUGUCUGAUCUCAGAAGCUAAGCAGGGUCGGGCCUGGUUAGUACUUGGAUGGGAGAAAAAGCAUCUUUGCCAAUCAAAUUAAGAGAUGAGGAGAUGAAGACA
rnacentral:rRNA from 1 species